UUUUUUCAGUUUUGAGAAAAUAACAAAAUCGGUAUAUAAAUCAUCAAUACUUGUGCUGGAAACCAAAAUAUGAGUGUUACAUCUAAGGACCAAAAAACAACUACCAUGCUUCUCUUACUAGGUCUAAAAUUUCUAGAAUUGAAUCUUGAUCAUUUAUAAUUCACACCAAAAACUAAAGAGAAGAAUACAUCUUGAUCUUUUACAAAGGACUGCAUAUAUCUUGAAAACAUCUUGAGUGUCUCUCAUUCCAAAUUGUCCAUCAAAUAGUUGUUGGGAUAAGACUUUUGAGGUUGAGGACUAGAUCUCAUUGUUGGCUGAUGACUUUAUAGUGUAAAGAUAGUUGGUUGAUUAUCUCUACAUUCUGUCCACAUAAAUAGCAUCUUGAGCAAAGUUGAAUUCCAUGCUUCCUUAAUGUUAUCUUGAUUAAUGACCACUUUAAUUAUCAACCAGGUAUCUCUCCGGACAAGCCUAUAGUUGCCUCUUGUGGCACUGGUGUAACUACUUGCAUACUUGUCUUGGGCCUCCAUCGACUAGGGAAGACUGAGAUUGUAGUCUAUGGUGGUUCAUGGACAGAAUGGGCAUCACAUUCAUAUACACCUAUCCCCACGUCUGAAACAUGAAGACGUUUGUAGGGGUAAGGUCUGCAUGUUUUUAUGGGUGAACAAUGACGACUGUGAAUCUAGAUCUAGUUUUCUUAAAUCUGUGAGUUCCACUGUAUUGCUUUUUUGUUAAUCAAGACAUUUUAUACAGCAUCGGUAUAAAUUUUACCCUUAUCCCUUUUAUCCUUAAAAAAAUUGUAUUGUUUUUUUAUUAUCUUUUUUUUGGUUCCAUUUGUAUGUUGAAUGUUAAAGGGAUAAGGGUAAAAAAUAUACCAAUGUUGUAUGAAAUGUCUUAAUUUACCUCCAUUAUAUUUUGGAUCCAUUGAUACCCUCUCUGCAAGCAAAUUGUAUCAUAUUUUCUGUUGAUGAUAAUGAACUCUAGUGUGGACUGAAAAGCUUUGAACCUUGUCAAAAUCUUGACACAGUGGAUUCCAUGUGUCAAAAUAUUUUCUAAAGAUAACCAUCUACUUUUGAUUAUGUUUUAAAAUAAACUUCCAUUAUAAUCAUGUUUACAUUUGCCUUUCUUUUGAGUAUCAAAUUCAAAAACUGGUAAGGGAAAAAAAAAAGAAAAAGGAAAGGAUUCAUUGGGAUUUUAAGGAAGAUUAUAGGAGUGGAUUUUUUUUGGUAACCGUGGUGUCCGGGCCAGCUUGCGUGCACCUUGACUAAUUCCACGGGAUAUCUUCUACCUCCCAUCAACAACAGCUACCAGGUAAUCCUGUUCUAAUCCUGACCACCAAGGCUAGAACUGAUGGGAAGAAAUCACCUAGUGUUAUGUCUGUUGGGAAUUGAACUUGAGACCUCAUGCUGCUCAACCCAACUUCAUUGAACCACUAGACCACAUCCUUGGUUGCAAGAGGAGUGGAUUUUUUUUUGGUUAGUUAUAGCAAAAA